UCUAAAAUUCUGUUAGAAACAUAACGAACCACUUAGAUAUAUAAUGUGCAAAACUGAGAGAUGUUGUGUUUUUACAGUGGCUAUGAUGUGUGAUUGAAUUUUAUUAUCCCAUAUUUUAUUUCAGAUGCUGCAGCAAAGAAAAUGCUCUCAGCCUUGGACGAUCCAUUCACUCGAUUCUUGAAACCAUUACCUUUUAUGAAGCAAGAAUAGCUAGCACCCAAGGUGCCCUCGCGGGUGUAGGUUUAUCCUUUGGCUACCUGUUGGUGCAUCACUUGCAGGGCUAUCUGUAAUGUCACUUUUUGUAGAAAUGACUCUCUAGAGACGCAAUAUAAGAGCGCAAAACAUUUGACAGCAGAUCGCUUAUGACCUCCUGUGGAUAAUCAGACAUGGGGUGCAUGGCAAAAUUAGGACAGACCGAAGGCAGCAGAUUCCGCAUUGGCCGUGCACUUUGAGGAGGACAUUGUCUUUGUAUAAGUGCCCCUACAAUCAUCCCUUUAUAGCCACAGAUAAGGCCUUCAGAUGGAUAUGGCCGCAUAAAUCACACCGAUGGAUCCAGUUCUUCGCCAGGUCCAACGUGCCCGCACCGGCCUCAAGCAUGGGAGACACUAUUACCUUGUGAUCUAACCGGUUACCACAAUCAAAUCCAUUUUUGCCCAUUUAAAUUAGUUAGCUCAGUUUUGUUGAUAACUGAGUUUCAUUGGUAAUAUAUACUGAAGUGUCUUUGUCAUUCUGUUUUACAAGACUUUCAUCACAAGUGCUAAAAUUAUGAAAACUUCUAGCUCACAAAGGUGUGCUUAAAAAGAUUUAACUCAACUUAGUAUGUUCUAUAAUCAUUUUUGUAUGCAACACUAACUUUAGAAUGCUUAGAGAUCUGCAAUGAGAUAUUUCAGAUGAGAUCAGAGCAGUAUAUUGUGCACACCAUUCGGAGAUGGGAUUUGUCUCAAAACAGUUGCCGCAAAGUGCAAGGUUCAGUAGACUACUUGUACUUCCCUUAAAAAAAGUACAAUACUUGUACAUUCAUCAGUACAGUACUACAGUACUUUCCAAGUAAUUACCAUUGUUUACAAAGAGGAGCACUCCAAAAUCGAUGUUUGAGAUUGUAUAUAUGCUUAAAAAGAUUGAUAACCAUGAAACUUUACUGAUCAGAAAAUGUCCUGGAUGAAUGGCAAUAUAUUCUAAUUGUCAGGAUGUUUGCUACAUUUUUGGUGUGUAUAUUUUAGGGACAUUGCUGCAGUGCUAAUGCCUUCCGUGCAGGUUAUUCAGUCAGCGCAUAUUCUGUCUUUUGGCAUGUGUAUGCUUGCUCUUGUGCCGAUGUAAUCACGACCUAUAAUCAGUCCAUGAUCCUUGUGUGACGUGAUCGCAGAAGUUGGGCAUACCUGCAUUGUUACUGAGAAGAUGCGAAUAUUAACUUAGGGUUCGGAGCUGAAGCUCUGGCCGAUAGCAAAGAUAUGAAGUCUGAGCUCUGUCUAUAUUUGCAAGUAUAUUGAUGUGACUUCACAUCUUGCCCCCGUAUUGGGCAGAUGCUUCAGAAUGGAGCCACUUCUAUGUGUACUGCCACUGUAACCACACAACAUGAAUUUUCCUGUUUUUGUGAUCUGAAAUUCUAGCAAGAAACUUGUUGGGUUAACUACGAUUUUGUACUAUUUACUACUAGCAUUUAUUCUUAUCUCUCAACA